AUACAGAGUCACCCUUUCCUGGCGGUUUGUGUUUGUCAAAGAACCUAAGGCAUAAACGUAAAAUCAAAGCAGUGAACUCAAAUGUAAUCAACAUUUACUGACUUGCUAUUCCUUGGAAAUUCGGUUGAGCAUUGUAAAGUCCUCUACUGUGACAUAAUCAAAAUUUCCUGGAUAUAUAAAUUUUGCUUCCAAUGUAGAAAUGUGAGCAUGCUGUAGCAUAUAGCUUGGCCCUGUGGUAAACUUGUCAGUAUAAAACUUUGCAGUGCAGUUUAUUUUUUAGCCUGUGCUUUCUUUGGAACUGGAAUUAACUUCUAUGUGAUCACUGUGAAACCUUUCCUCGUUAAGCAUAUUUUCCUAGCUUAUUUUAAUGUCACAUUUGGUUGAAUGUGCCGACUUCCUCGGACAACAUGUAAAAUUUCCAGGUGGAUAUUAGGCAUCCAAAGUAUCUGUGUAAUAUUGACAUUUAAAUUUUUAGUAAGAGCUUUUAAAGAAAGGUCUAAACAAAAUUAUUCUAUAACCUUUGCUGCUAGUUGUAAAAGACUCAUUUUCUUUUAAAUGUCUUUGACAAAGCUGGGCCUUUUCAUUCUUUUGAAGAGAAAAAAAUUAAAGCCUUAGCAAUAACUUAAACACACUGGCACAGAUAAUGUAGUUUUAUUUGUACAUUUCUGUGGCAUAGUGUACUGAGAAAUACUAAUUCUUUUGACUCUCUGCCAAUUUUCUACUAAUCAAAAUGGAGAAGAUAUGCACUGUUUGGAUUAUACCUAAAAAUAGUUGUGCUCCAGCCACAUCAGCAAAUGGAAUUAAAUUAAUUUCUCUUUCUUCCCCUUCACACACACCCUACAUGUUAUUUAAAUUUCCAUCUAGAAUAUUGCUCCCGAAUCUCCUGGUUUUAGAUUCAGUGUGUCCUAAAUAGCGUUGCUACCUUGCAGUGAUCUUGAAUCAAACUCCACCUGUGUGCCCCUCCCCUGAAAUACCCACAUUCACCCUCCUUUCAUUUAGAGAAUCUCUACCAGAUACUCCUUAUGAUGUAAUCAUAGAAUUAUUAUUACUAUAAAUAGAUGCUUUGUGGAUUAAUCCUUUUUUUUUUCCUUUUGUGGGAGGAGAGAAAUCAGGUUCAGAAUCUGUCAGAAUCAGUCAUUUGAGCAGGGAGCAGAUAAGAGGUUUCCAAAGCCAAUUGCUUUAAUGACAGACUAGGAAAAAAAUAGCCUUGAGAAGCUCACACUUGACUGCUGAUUAGACAGUGGCCUCUGCAGUCAUGUUAGCAAUGCCCGAGAAAGCAUUGUCAGUAGCUGCUUUAAAACUUUCAUCUUCAUUUGGAUGCUGGGGAGAGAUCACAUUUCCACCUUCUGUACCUGGGCCCAGUUCUUGUCUUGGGUCCACUGUACUCUCUAGCAUUCUUUUCUGAGCAUUUAUUUCUUCAGUUCUUGAAUAAGCUUGAAAUAUCUGGAACAUUUAGAUAAAGUCUCUUCCUAGCAGCACUGGUUUCUCAUGAAUGGCUUCCUAAAGUUCUGAUUUUCAACAUGUUUGAGCACGUGCGAUUUUUUUCCUUCUUCCCCACAUUCCCACGCCUGUAACUGUUAAUUGGUAGUAGCAAUGUCACACUUUUCUCUUCCUAUUUAUGACACAAAAUUUAUACCUCUGAUAUAUUUUAAAUGUCAAGUUUGCAAUUCUGCUGGAGAAUUUCAGUAUUGCUCAUAAUUAUGUGGCAACUGCAAGCAGAAAAAAAUUGAAAUUAAUGUUUGUACUUUUCCCACUGUGCCUGGUGACCUUGGGAACCUGAUGCUGUUUCCUUGUGAUUCAGGUUCACGUCCCACAAAGCCUGAUCAGUCGCCUUUGCUUAUCGCUUUGAGAUGCUCUGACAGAGUUCUUUGCUUUGCUGUGUCUGUCUUUUCAGUACUUCCUCCUGAGCUUCCUUUCCCUUUCUUAGCAGCUCCACCCACAAAAAUCCCUCGGUGCUUUUAAAGUGAAAAAGAACAAAUAAGAAUUGCAGGAAUAUAUAUAAUACUCCAUGCAUCCAAACAAAUGGUCCUUCAUUUUUUUUAUUGCACUUAAAAUUCCACAGAAACCACAACUGAAUUAAAUAAUCUUCUUUCCAAACAGGAGAUUAAAAAACCUGUUUGCUGUGUACUUUGCAAACAAGGUGGUUUAAUGAUUCUCAACCUACAGCCACUUUGAGAAGAGUAAGUCAGUUUGAAAAGUUACUCAACUCUACAAUUUUUGCAUUGAGUUCUAAAAGCUAAUAGCAACUAUCUAGGUUGUUCUCUUUCUUGGAAUAGUGAUUCAGAGAUAAGAAGUACUGAAACCCAUAUUUCUGCUUACCUUUCUUUUUAUAGCUUGCAGAGUAUAGGAUUUCUUUGCUCUUGGUUUUAUAAAUGGUGACAAAACUACAAGAACUUUACUGACUUAAAAUAUCUGUUAUGUGAAGUACAGGGACUCACCUGAAAUCUUGAAGUGCUUGUUAAAAAUGCUUUUAAAGAAUAGACAUUAAUAGAUGUUCCAAUAACAUUUUCUGUACUCUGAGGUCUUUUUAAAAGCUUUUGUAGACUGUAUUUUAGUAAGAUGUUCUUUUAAAAGAACUCAUUAAGCUUAAAUGAUUUUAUGAUCAAUCAAGACAAUGUAUUUUUCUUUUUUCUUAAAAUAGACACACCUAAGUAAAGCGAGUCACACAAAAUAAUUCCCGAUGCUGGCAUGUGAAAUUUCUUGAUCUGUUUCACAGACAAUACCCCUGGGUUAUGCUUGUAUCCAUGCAGACUCCCAAGACUGGCAAGUUUACAGACCUACUCUACUGUAUAGUAGCUUACUCUAUUAACACAUUUCUUUUAUAGCAAGCCCAAAUCCCUUGUGGGGUUUUGAUGCAGGGUUGAUUUUGGUGCAUCUGAAAACUGAUGGCUGAGCCACUAUUCUGUUUAAAAUUCCUUUUGUUGAUGUGUAUGAAACCCACACAUACCAGCUUUAUAGGCACCAAUUAAUUCCAUUUGUUCUUAUAAACAAUUUUCUUGUAAACAGUUUCAAAUCCUUUAAUUCUUCCUGUUGUUCAAUUAAGAACCAUCUUCAGUUACAGGGAUUACUUCUUGCUGGAGACCAAAACAAACAUAACAUGAACAAGGCGUUAAGCUCCAUACCUGGCCCAGUGGCAUUAACACGCCAUCAUCCCAAAAACAUGCUGAUAAUUUCUGUAGUAAAACCAAUGACACAAAACUCUACAGACCAGAAAAAGUACUCUACAAUGUGAAAGGCAUUGGACAGAAACUACUAAAUCUUCACAGUACUGCUGAAAAGCAUCCUGCAAGCACAGGACAAAAUUUUUUUCUCAAAUCAAGCAAUCAGUGUAACCCCUUGUCAAAAAGGGUUAUAUGUACAGUGCUUCUCAGAUCUUUUGAGUGUUAAUGUACCUAGAAAGACAAGUAAGUAUUUUUUAAUUGAAUGUGCUCAGAAAACACCUUGGGAGCUUAACUAUUAGAGGAUUGCUGUGAUUGGUCUUCUGUGACUCAUAUGUUCAUCAAGUCUUACCCGAGGGUGCUACAUGCUGAGUGCCGGUGCCAUAUGGGAUACCUGCAGCCUCACAUUCUGAGCCUGCCCCCAAGGCAGUCACUCUAACUGGGGAGCUCAGACCUCCACCCAGGAAUGUGACAAAAAAGAGCCAGGCAUAUGGGAUAGAAGGCCUCUAAAGCAGUGCUAUGCAAAGGCAACAAUACAAGCUAGUGGUUUCUAGUGGUCUCUUUUUUUGUUUAUUUUCUAGUAGUCUUUUUUUUUUAAAGAAAAAGUAAAAAUAGAGGUGAAAUUAAUGUUUCUAUAUGUAAUCUAUAUAAAACAUUAAUGAGAUGUUUCAUUUUAUAUUCAGUAGUAAAUAUACAUGAAGGUGGAAAUCUGGUGUGUUUCAUACACUUAGAGCCCAUCUCAAUUGUCCAGUGCUCAGUAGCAGAAGGAGUGGAUGAUAAGGCAACAUAAACUAGAGGCUUGAUAACCUAGCAGGUGCACUGGCACAAAAGGCUAAUCCACAGGAAGUUACAAGGAAAACAACACGCGUGAACAAAAGCACAGAAAUAUACGUGGCAGAGAUGAAUAUUCAGAUAAAGAAUAGCUACUUGCAGAUAUUUCAUUUUGAUGGAGUAAUUAGAAAUAAAACUGUGAAGAUGAUUUCAGAAUAGACCAGAAGAUUGGCCUUUCACCUUCCUGACAGCGUGGAGAUGUAUGACAAGACUGUCAGGAUUAAAACUGAUGCUUUAGAAAGAUUCAUCUAUCAUCAGAAGGCGUGAUUAGUGGAUGUAGCAUCUCACUACAGCUUCAAAAUAUUUCUGCGUAAAUUCAAUAACCUCAUCAUGCAAAUCAGGAAACUAAGAGUUAUGUAAUCUUAUGUAUGAACUCAUUAUUAAAUUGACUUCAUGGCUUUUAUUGUAUCAAUUUCAGGAGCUGACCUAGAAAAAUGAGCCCUUGCCAAGCAGAUUUCUAAAUGCAUAAAGCUGAGGGUUAUGUCCCCUGUAGAGAUAAAACACUGGGGCACAAACAGUUUGUUCAGGGCAACAAAUAAGCAGAGAUUAAGUCUAGGUGGCUGACUUCUUAAUUAGUCUUAUUCAUAUCACCAACCUGACUUUGUUCUUGACUGGAAUAGAAGCUCUUUUAGUAUAAAGGCCUUGUCUUUUUUUUUUUUUUCUUUGACCAAGGUUUAUUACAUAUACUCUGAAUAUUCACUGAAUUGUACUAGAGUUGGAGAAACUAGGUUUUUAGCUUUGGCAAGAAUCUAGGUAUAUAGUGACAACAGGCCUUUAUUAGCUUUGCAUCAGUAUAACAAGUACUUCAACUCAUCAACUUAACAAGAGAAGUAUUGAUUUUGGCUUGCAGCUUUAGCAGAUCGAGUCCAGGACAAGUUGGCCCUGUUGCUUUUGAGCCUGCGGAGAAGUAGCACAUCCUGGUGAGGAGCACAGAGUGGAGCAAAGCUGUUUGCCUCAUAAUCAAGAAGUGAAAGAAAGAGAUGGGCUUGAAUGACACAUAUUCCCCAAACGCCUGCUGCUCUCCCAUUAGGCCCUGCCUGGGUUCCACCACCUUUGCUUAUGCCAGGCUGGAAACUAAGUUCCUAACACAUGUGGCUUUGGGAGCCAUUCCAGAUCUGAGCAACACUGAGGCUUAACGAGGGCUGUGCACUGCAAGAAGAGGUGAUAUGACAGACACUGUGUCCUUUGUGAAUCCAGUUUUUAAAUACCCAACUACAGUUUCUCCAAGAAAAGUACAAAUCUGCAAAUUGCAGUAAACAUGGUGUAACCUCUGCCAGUGUCACAGGAAAUGGUGGGAUUGUUAUCCAAAUAUUUCUAAGAAAUAAGUUUAGUUCUAGAAAUGGCACUGCUGGAAUCCUUUACCUAAGCAACAUAAAUUCAAUGAAUAUGAAGGUAGUAUGUGGUUCAUGUCCAUUUCUUUUCUUGAAAAAUAGUCUUCUCCCGAGCUCUGUUAAAUAAGAACUGCAUGUUCUAAGUUCUAGGCCAUUAAUCAAUGCACAAAGCACUUGAUUUUUUUGGUCACUUGUUAUAAUUUUUCUACAGGGGCUUGUUUUCAUUUUGAACACAGACCUACAACUGGUUUUCUCCCUGAAUACCACAGAAGGAGAAAGCCCUUGCCACUGGACCAAGAAUUCUGGCUGAAAUUCAAAAAAGUCAACUUCUCUAAGAAAAUCAGACUACCAUUCACUGAUGUAUAGAUUCCUAUUUUAAAUCUUAUUUCUGUAGUCUGUACUGCAAGAAAUUUUAAUUUAUUCAUUAACAGUGUGGUUGGAGGCAAACACAGCACAGUUCUCUGAAAAGUUCUUCUCUGGUCUUUUCCACUUGUAACAGGUCCUAAGCAUCAUCUUCAUUAUCAUCCCUUCUCAAUAAGAGAGAGACAGAGAUACAGAGAGAGACAGACAGAGGGAGACAGACAGAGAGAGAGAGAGAAAGAGAGAGAGAUCUGUAGCUAUUCCAAGGGAAAUUUUAUUGCCAAAAUUCCACUGGAUAAAGCAUUAAGACUUUACCUGUUAUUCUUUCCUCUGUGUAUUGUCUGUAUACAUGUUCUCAGUAAAGCAGACUUUGUUUUAAGUAGCACUGUAUUUGCAUUACCUUACUGGGAUUAUUGUUCGUGAGACACUUCACACAGAACCAGCUGGGAAGCUGGGAGCCAGGCAGCUGACUAGGGAGACCUCUGUGGCGGGGAAGGGGGUUAAGGCCUGUGGACACUUUCAAACCUAUUUGGUUUAGAUGCAUUUCUCUGCGUCAAUUCCUGAGACUGAUAUAUAAAAUCAGAAGCCCACUUUAAUAAUUCACAUUGUAGCUGUCACAAGACCUGUGGCAUACAUUUGAGCAUGAUCAGACAUUCUCUCUCUACAUUCCGGGAAGAUAAUUCUAAUAUAAAGGGUCUUAGCAAGCACGGGACCAGAACCAAGAGCUGCUACACAGAUUUCCCAAUACACCCAUCUCUACCGUGGCUUGGAAUGCUCGAAGCCCUCUGGCCCUGAGGCCAACAUGCCUUUCGCCCCUAAAUAGGGCUUGCAUGAGCAGGGCCGGCAUUUGACUCUCUUUGCUUUUACUAUUACCAGUAGUCACGUGUUUAUCUUUUGCUCUGCCAAACUUUCCAACAGACACAUUCUCCCUUUAUAGAAAUUAAGAGAACUCUGCAAGUCAUGGUCUUGUUGACCUGCCUGUGUUUUUAUGAGGGCCUCAUACCUCUGCUUUCAUCCAUUAUUUCUGAGUUAAUAGAGGUCUGGGAGAAAGGAUGAUAUUUUACUGCCUCCCAAUUCUGCAAUGGAAGCCCUUUUUCUGUAGCAAAGCUCCUGGUUCAUGUUCUACAGUAUGGGAACCACAUAUUUGAGUCUAUUGAUCUUCUAGCAGAUAAAUAGCAUUAAUUCCAUUUUAUUCAAUGGUCCUUUUCCUGAAACACAUGAAAUAUAUGUCUAGCCACCAUUCAAACUUUCUUUCUCUGAUUUGCUUAUCUGAUAUACCGAAUACUUUAUCCUGAUCCAUCUUAGCUAACUGAUCCUCCAAAAAUGCCACAUAGGGUCACCCUAAGCUGGAACUCUGGUCAGGUGUCUGAAAGUGGAAUCAUAUUUAGCUAGGGAAGAAAAGUUACAACAUUUGUGGAGGCACUGAAGAAUUGGGUUCAAUGCCACACAUUUUAGACUACAAUUGUAGAACAAAGUUUGAAAUCGAUGUCAUAAAAGGUUAUUAUACCCUUAGACUUCUUGCUUCCAACCAAUGUAGUAAUAUGUUUUACUGUAUUAUAGUUAUUAUAUAAUUAUUUAUUCACCUAUUUUAUCUCUACGUACUGGGUUGUACAGAGUACAGAGCAAGAUAGACAAUCUUCAAAAUCAGGCAGGUUCUCUUUUCUGUUGUUUAUUUUUGUGUUCAUUUAUUUUUUAAUGUUUACUUCACAAAUAAUAAUUGUAUAUACUUAGGGCCUGGGGAUUUAGCUCACCGGCAUAAGUGCCUGCCUUGAAAGCGGCAGUCGUGAGUUCGAUCCUUGGUACCAAUAAAAAAGAAAAAGACAAAAAAAUUUUAAAAAUAAAAAUAAUUGUAUAUACUUACGGGGUACAAUGUGAUAUAUAUUUUGCAUUGUGCCAUGAUUUAACCAGGCUAAUUAUCAUAUCCAUUACCUUAUGUAUUUACUCUUCCUUAGUGAUGGGAACAUUUACAGUCUACUGUUUUAGCAAUUUUGAAUUGCACAAUACCUUAUAACUAAAUAUAUUCACUAGGCAGUACAAGCUGAUUGCUGGGACUUAUUCCUCCUGUCUUACUGGAACCUUUGUGCCAUUUGACCAACAUCUCCUUUUUCCUUGUUUGACCUCUCUCUAGCCCUCUCUACUUUUAAGAGUUUGAUAUUUUUAGAUUUUACACUCUAGUGAGAUCACGCAGUAGUUAUUUUUCUGAAAGCUGCUACUCUCGCUUGUUCCCUCUUACCUAUACUUUCAAAACACUGCUAGAGAAAAAGUGAAGUACUUUUAAAGGGUCAUUAUUUCAAAAAUCAGAAUUAACUUGCUUUAUAUAAACACAGUUUGAGAAGAUGAGAGAAUAUUAUGUUCCGCUUUAAGAGUGGCCACAUAAACUCACAAGUAUUGAAAAUAUCAAAAUUAAUGUUCUAUUUAUCUAUACAGUGUAUUUUUUUUAGGCAAAAUAUAUGGACUAGGUCCAUAAGCUUUAUCCAAAGACUGGAGGGGCCAAAUGUAUUUCAAAAUUCAGAUUUUUUUGAACUUUAAGGAGGUAGUAUAGUACAUACUAGACAUUAUGUGACAUCUAAGCAGAGUCUAGGUCAGCAUCCUAUAAUCAAACAUUAAUGUCUCUGCUAAAAAAUAGAUGAUUGUUAAUACUAAGUGGAUAGAUAAAGACUAUAAAUAGACCCAUGCCAGCUCAAGUCACAUCUUUCUGCCAAGUAAGUUCAAGUAAGGCCAGGUUAACUGCCAAGGAGUUACAGAAAAACUCUAUCUCCAUAACUUUUUGGACUGAGGAAUUUGGAAUAUGAAAUUGCAGACUUGUGUGGUGGAACCUUCCUUUACAGAAUGUCACCUACUGAUUAGGGAUGACCAUGAAACAUAUUUAGACUUACUGAAUAAUAUCACAUAAAGUACUGUUAUUUAAAAAUAAAGCCUAUGAUUAAAAUAAAGUCUCAUACUUUUUUUUAAACUGAGGAGAUUCUGGAAAAACAGGCUGCAUCCUAUUCAGAAAAAUUAAUGAAAUUAAUAGCCAGAGGCAUAAUGACAUAAAAAUUUGGGCAAAUUUUUGCUCAUUGUCAAUAGUCAAUGAUAUGUUCUAAUUGUAAUUAUAAUUAUAAUAUGUUAUACGGGCAACCUUUGUUUGCCAGGGUCACCUUAUUAACUAAGAAAAAAAUUCUUGAUUAACACAUAGCUGAUUUUAUGGACUCUCAGAAAGGAGGAAACCUUUAAAAACUCACUGUAGUAGUCCACCCACCUCUUACAGCAAGGAGUCUUCUUAUUCUUGAAUCACCAACUCUUACAGAAGGAAAAAGAUUCUGGUUGUCACCUCAGAAUGUAUAUCCACAUGUGAAAAGUGUUGCUGUCAUUUUCAAGGGGUCCUGUAAGAACUCCCGCCUCAGAUGUUUGCCAUAUUUGAAAAGAAAGAGAAUGUUUUAAAAUUUCACAGCAAUCUUAAUACUGCAGAGAAUGUCUGUAUUUUAAGCUGCUCCCUAAAUUGAAUGGUCAUAUGCCUCAGUGGCUUCUGUGACAGUUAUCUCAGUUUAUGAUUUUUCUGUGCAGUAAUUAUAAGAUAAAUAUUUUUUAGUUCAUAGUGAUGUUUUACCUUCAUUCUAAAGAUUGGAAAGAGAAGUAAUGACUUUGUUAGUUUUCCACUUUAUAUUUUUAUUUCCUAUAUCAUGCAAAACUCAGAGAGGGAUAAAAAAGAAAAAGGAAUUCUCUGAGGAAAACGCAUGAAAUUUCCUACUCAUAAAUACAUCAAACAUCCAUUUUCAAUUUGACAGUAACUGGGAAAGGAAAUUAUCAAGUAAAUUUUCUAAGUGUUGCGCUGUCACUGGAAAAAAAGAUUUAUAUUUGUCUUUGGCAUCAAAUCAUAAUUUAAAUUUAACAGUAGUAAGCAUGCAAUAUUUUUGUUUGCUUGACAUUUUGAGGCUUCUGAUAGGAGAGAAUUCUGAGUGAGUUGCAGUAUACAUUUUCUUCUGUACGCUUAUCAGAACAAUUCAUGAAGAGCAUCGUUUUCAGCCCAAGUAUCAAGGAGGCUCACGGAUAGCAGUCUUGGCAGCUCACAGAAGGAGGGUAUGAACUCCAGGAGCUCACUGAAAAGACUGGCUUCCUUUCCUAGAGACAUUAAGUACACAGUGGCUCCCUCCAGGCAUGGGCAGGAAAACUUCUCAGUGGCUUCUAUUUCCUCCAGCACAGUGGAAUCCACCUACAGCCUCACCCUGCCUCCUGACUUCAUCCCACAGCUCACCCUGUUGUCCUCAAAACAUCUGAGUGCUUGACCUCUCGCCCCUCCUGCAGUGCUACUUGUCAGGUUCUGCAGACAGGCUCCAGCCGGCCUCAGGCAGAGCUGGGUGGAGGUGAUGGAGCGCUCCUCCUCAGAUCAAGUGGCCAAGAGAUGUGAAGAUGUCUCCCCUCUCAUUGUUACGGAGGAAGACUGCUUCUUCCCUGCCAGUAGGAAAGAUAUUCCCAUGCAUAAUAAUUAAUGCAUUGGACUUGCUCAUUUGUUGCUAAUCGCUGUCCAAAAUAUACCUUAAAUAUUCCAGAACACAGAACCUGAUAUGACCUGGAAAAUAGUACAUUAAGUCAAAGCAGCCGGAACCCACACUGCGUUGCUCUAUUUAUAUAGAAAACACCACCUACUUCUGGAUGACUGAGUCAUCCCUGGCCUUCUGGAAAGACCUGACAAGAGGGUCCACGAACACUGGAAGACAGGCCUUUUCUGUGGAGUUCUCAGUGUGGCCCACUCAGAGGAAGAACUUGGGGAUCCCACGGGACAAGCUGGUCACAGGCACCCACGGACAGAUUGUUUUCAGACCAAAGGAUUUCACAUUGUCUUGUCACUGUGUUGUUGUUUGUGAUACAAGGCCUUUGCCUUGAGGGACAACCUCAGCCCUUUUUAGUUUUUGUUUUGCUUUGUUUCCUUUUUUGUUUAUUUUGAGACAGAAUCUCCAUAAAUCACCAAGUUGCUCAGGCUCCGACUUGUGAUCCUCCUGCCUCAGCUUCUCUGUGUUCACAUUGCUUAAAUAGGCAGCCCUAAGUUCGGUCUGAUGAUCUGAAUGUGAUCGUCCCUAAAUUCUCCACAUGGCUCCUGGCCUCUUGUCUUUUCCUGUGACUCCUAACAGCCUCAUGAACUGUUGAAAUGUGUAAUCAGACUUUUUCAAGCUGUUUUGCUGUCCAGGGAUCAAGUAUAAUGGUUUUUGUUUCAGUUUCAGAAUUCAGUUGUAUUAACGAGCACUCCUAUGGCAGGUUACAUCUGUGGCGUGAGAGUAUCACAUGUAGUUCCUACUUUGGACACUUUGAAUAGAUGCAUCAGUUAAAGCUCUUAAACUGGGAACUGGGACUUGCAUGGGUUCCAAUGCCUCCUGCUCCCAAGUAAGUUAGGGGGCAGUGUCGAAGGUAUAAGCCUGCCAGUUGAAGCAGGUCACUGCUAAGGUCUUGUCCUAGUUCUGAUUAACUACUUUUCACCACUGAUAUGUUUUAAGGACAUAUCAGUUCAGGCUAUUCCUAAAGGCAAUCCUACCUUCUACCGGAAUCGAGUUAAUUUAUACUUUUCUAUCAAUAAACAUUUAUGGAGUGCCACUAGAGGCCUGACUAUGUCAGGUAAGGAAAACAGAGUUGUCAGUUCUGGCCCCCAGGGAACCUGAAGCCUGGAGGACACAGUGACCAAGGUGGGCCUGUCAUUGAAUACUCAGGGUUUACUGCUGAACCCACAGAGAGAGCAGCUUCCAAAACUAGCCACAACUACCCAGGAAAGUGUCAACUACCAGGUAUCAAUACAGUAUGAAAAGGGCAUUCUCAGCAGUGGAAGAAGUUUUCAAAAGCACAGAAGCUAGAAAGAGCAGAGUACGUCGUGAGAGGGCAAGAGAAUUUUCCAGGCUGGAGCAUAAGGCUGCCUGAUCACCACAGUGGGAAAAGAUUCCUGCGAAACCGGCAAAGACUAGACUCGGGAAGAAUUGAUGGAUCUAGCCAGAAGGCUGGACUCCAUUCUUUAGAGAAGAGCCCCUGAAAGUCCUAAGGUAAAGAGUAACACGUUCAAUCUGGGUUUUAUUACACAUAUUCCACAAUAAGAGAGGAGGUAAACUUGUGGAAAAAGAAAUAAAGAAACACCAGUCAGAAGUCCAGAGGAUGAGAGAAGAACGCAAAUAAUAAAAAUGGCGGGCCCAGGGGCAGGGUCCCUCAGAGAGAGUUCACAGUAAACAGGUAAGGUUGUGGUUUGAAGCCCUCGGGCCUCAUAAACUUAGGGGAGAGAAGUUCACCCAUGUUAGGAAAAUAAAUGGGAGUCCCGAGUGGGGCUGGAGACAAAGAUGAGCGACCCACUGGCCUGCCUCUACAGAAAAGCUGGAAGUUAAAAUUUCCUAGCACCAUUCACAAAGCACCACACCAUAAACUAGAAAACCAUGAUGAGGGGAAGGCAAGCGAAGGAAGAAAGAGCUUUUUCUGUAGUUUUCCUACUGCUAUUCUCCAAAGCAACAAUACUCUUUAUGUUUCACCACAAGAUAAUAUCGACAUAAAAGUAGUUACCAUAGUGUCUCUUUCCUUAAAAUCUUUGUGUAUAACUUCGUAUACUGUAGCAUCAAACAUAUCAAGACAAUGUAAAACCAUUCAAGAGAAUGACAGUAUUACAGGGUAUUUAGAAUCAACUAACAGAAAAUGAACAAUGGUUUCUGUAUAA